rnacentral:pre_miRNA from 1 species
UAUGACACUGAAGCGUUACCGAACCGUUUUCCCACACCUGGAUUCGGUGCAACGAUCAGUGGCAUGCU